CAAGUAUGGGGUCUGCUGGCUUGUCGCGGCUGCAUGGGCUUUUCGCGGUCUAUAAGCCCCCGGGGCUAAAAUGGAAGCACCUGCGGGAUACAGUGGAGCUACAACUUCUGAAGGGUCUCAAUGCCAGGAAGCCUCCCGCCCCUAAACAGCGUGUUCGCUUCUUGCUGGGCCCCAUGGAAGGCAGCGAAGAGAAGGAGCUGACCCUCACAGCCACCAGCGUACCCUCUCUCAUCAACCAUCCACUGGUAUGUGGACCAGCAUUCACCCAUCUCAAGGUUGGCGUGGGACAUCGGUUGGAUGCCCAGGCUUCUGGAGUACUUGGUGUCAGAAUCCCAUGGGGAGCUUGGCAGGGAUCCUAGGCCCCCUCCAACCAUGAGUCAGAUUCAGUGCGUAUGGUGCUCGGCGUGGGACAUGGAUGCAGGCUCCUCACCGAUAUGUACAAUGCUCAUCUUACCAAGGAUUACACAGUGCGUGGCCUCCUGGGCAAAGCUACAGAUGACUUCCGUGAGGACGGGAGGCUGGUAGAGAAGACAACCUAUGACCACGUGACCAGAGAGAAGCUGGACCGCAUUCUGGCCAUUAUCCAAGGCUCCCAUCAGAAGGCCCUGGUGAUGUACUCCAACCUCGACCUGAAGACCCAGGAGGCCUAUGAGAUGGCCGUGAGAGGCCUGAUCCGGCCCAUGAACAAGUCCCCGAUGCUGAUAACUGGCAUCCGAUGCCUCCACUUUGCACCUCCGGAAUUCCUCUUAGAGGUGCAGUGCAUGCAUGAGACGCAGAAAGAGCUGCGAAAGUUGGUUCAUGAAAUCGGCCUGGAGCUAAAGACCACUGCUGUCUGCUCCCAAGUGCGGCGCACACGCGACGGCUUCUUCACGCUAGACAGUGCCCUCCUGAGGACCCAGUGGGACCUAACCAAUAUCCAGGAUGCUAUCCAGG
rnacentral:sRNA from 1 species